GACGAACGCUGGCGGCGUGCUUAACACAUGCAAGUCGAACGAAGUGGCGAACGGGUGAGUAACGCGUAAUCAACCUGCCCUUCAGAGGGGGACAACAGUUGGAAACGACUGCUAAUACCGCAUACUGAAGGAGGGGAUUGCGUCUGAUUAGCUAGUUGGAGGGGUAACGGCCCACCAAGGCGAUGAUCAGUAGCCGGUCUGGAAGGGAGGACGGCCAAAAUGGGACUGGGACACGGCCCAGCCUCCUCCGGGAGGCAGCAUGGGGGAAUUUCCCGAAAUGGAGGAAAGUCUGACGGAGCAACGCCGCGGGAGUGAUGACGGCCUUCGGGUGUUAAAGCUCUGUUAAUCGGGACGCGGUACCGGAAUAGAAAGCCACGGCUAACUACGGGCCAGCAGCCGCGGUAAUAC
rnacentral:rRNA from 1 species